rnacentral:rRNA from 1 species
CGGACGGGGUGAGUAAUGUCUGGGAAACUGCCUGAUGGAGGGGGAUAACUACUGGAAACGGUAGCUAAUACCGCAUAACGUCGCAAGACCAAAGAGGGGGACCUUAGGGCCUCCUGCCAUCGGAUGUGCCCAGAUGGGAUUAGCUAGUAGGUGGGGUAAUGGCUCACCUAGGCGACGAUCCCUAGCUGGUCUGAGAGGAUGACCAGCCACACUGGAACUGAGACACGGUCCAG